UGAGGAAUAUUGGUCAAUGGGCGCAAGCCUGAACCAGCCAUCCCGCGUGAAGGAAGAAGGCCCUACGGGUUGUAAACUUCUUUUCUGUUUGAAGAAUAAGCUCGUCGAGACGAGUGAUGCCGGUAGGACAGGAAUAAGCAUCGGCUAACUCCGUGCCAGCAGCCGCGGUAAUACGGAGGAUGCAAGCGUUAUCCGGAUUUAUUGGGUUUAAAGGGUGCGCAGGUGGUUUAAUAAGUCAGUGGUGAAAGUCUGGCGCUUAACGUUAGGAUUGCCAUUGAUACUGUUAGACUUGAAUAUGGAUGAGGUAGGCGGAAUGUGUAGUGUAGCGGUGAAAUGCUUAGAUAUUACACAGAACACCGAUUGCGAAGGCAGCUUACUAAUCCAUUAUUGACGCUGAGGCACGAAAGCGUGGGGA
rnacentral:rRNA from 1 species